UAGCGGCCGCGACCUGGGCGGGCUGAGGCGGGUCUGUGUGUGCGUGUGUGUGACGGGCCUCGGGGCCGCGGUGGAUGGUUUCUAAAAUGAUCAUUGAAAACUUCGAGGCACUCAAGUCCUGGCUCAGCAAGACCCUCGAGCCCAUCUGUGAUGCAGAUCCAUCAGCCCUAGCAAAAUAUGUUUUGGCUUUAGUAAAGAAAGACAAAAGUGAAAAAGAACUGAAGGCAUUAUGUAUUGAUCAGUUGGAUGUAUUUCUUCAGAAAGAGACACAGAUAUUUGUAGAAAAACUUUUUGAUGCUGUGAAUACAAAGAGCUAUCUGCCUCCCCCAGAGCAGCCAUCAUCAGGAAGCCUGAAGGUAGAAUUUUUUCAGCACCAAGAAAAAGACAUAAAAAAAGAAGAGGUUACAAAGGAGGAUGAACGAGAGAAGAAGUUUUCUAGAAGGCUAAAUCACAGUCCUCCCCAGUCAAGCUCCCGAUACAGAGAAAAUAGAAGUCGUGAUGAGAGGAAAAAAGAUGAUCGUUCUCGAAAAAGAGAUUAUGAUCGAAAUCCUCCUCGAAGAGAUUCCUACAGAGACCGAUACAAUAGAAGACGAGGACGAAGUCGCAGUUACAGUAGGAGUCGGAGUCGAAGUUGGAGUAAAGAGAGGCUUCGUGACAGGGAUAGAGAUAGAAGCAGAAGUAGAAGCAGAAGCAGAACACGAAGUAGGGAACGGGAUCUAGUAAAACCUAAAUAUGACCUGGAUAGAACAGAUCCGCUAGAAAAUAAUUAUACUCCAGUCUCUUCCGUACCUAAUAUUUCAUCUGGCCACUAUCCUGUCCCUACUUUGAGCAGCACCAUUACUGUCAUUGCACCUACUCAUCAUGGUAAUAACACCACUGAAAGUUGGUCAGAAUUUCAUGAAGAUCAGGUGGACCAUAACUCUUAUGUAAGACCACCAAUGCCAAAGAAACGGUGUAGAGACUAUGAUGAAAAGGGUUUUUGUAUGAGAGGAGACAUGUGCCCUUUUGAUCAUGGAAGUGACCCAGUUGUCGUAGAAGAUGUGAAUCUUCCUGGUAUGCUGCCUUUUCCAGCCCAGCCACCUGUUGUUGAAGGACCACCUCCUCCUGGACUCCCUCCGCCUCCACCAAUUCUUACACCCCCACCAGUGAACCUUCGACCUCCAGUGCCACCUCCAGGUCCAUUACCACCUAGUCUCCCACCUGUCACAGAUGAUAUUUCUUAUUCUUUGGUUUUGACAGGACCACCACCUCCACUUCCUCCUUUGCAGCCAUCUGGCAUGGAUGCUCCCCCAAACUCUGCAACCAGUUCUGUUCCUACUGUAGUAACAACUGGCAUUCAUCAUCAGCCUCCUCCUGCUCCACCCUCUCUUUUUACUGCAGUUUUUGUAUUACCAGAUACAUAUGACACAGAUGGCUACAAUCCAGAGGCCCCAAGCAUAACAAACACUUCCAGACCUAUGUAUAGACACAGAGUGCAUGCACAAAGGCCUAACUUGAUAGGACUAACGUCAGGGGAUAUGGAUUUGCCACCCAGAGAAAAGCCUCCUAAUAAAAGCAGCAUGAGGAUAGUAGUGGAUUCAGAAUCAAGGAAAAGAACUAUUGGUUCUGGAGAACCUGGAGUUCCUACAAAGAAGACUUGGUUUGAUAAACCGAAUUUUAAUAGGACAAAUAGCCCGGGCUUCCAGAAGAAGGUUCAAUUUGGAAAUGAAAAUACCAAACUUGAGCUUAGAAAAGUUCCUCCAGAAUUAAAUAAUAUCAGCAAACUUAAUGAACAUUUUAGUCGUUUUGGUACAUUGGUAAACUUACAAGUUGCCUAUAAUGGUGAUCCAGAAGGUGCCCUUAUCCAAUUUGCAACAUAUGAAGAAGCAAAGAAAGCAAUUUCAAGUACGGAAGCUGUAUUAAACAAUCGCUUUAUUAAGGUUUAUUGGCAUAGAGAAGGAAGUACCCAACAGCUACAAACUACUUCCCCAAAGGUAAUGCAGCCUUUAGUCCAGCAGCCCAUUUUACCUGUGGUGAAGCAGUCAGUCAAAGAGCGGUUGGGUCCAGUACCUUCAAGUACUAUUGAACCCGCAGAAGCCCAGAGUGCUAGUUCAGAUCUUCCUCAGAAUGUAACUAAGUUAUCUGUGAAGGACAGGUUGGGUUUUGUAUCAAAGCCAUCUGUUUCAGCAACUGAAAAGGUGUUGUCUACAUCUACUGGCCUAACAAAAACAGUGUAUAAUCCAGCUGCUUUGAAGGCUGCACAAAAAACCUUACUUGUUACCUCUCCUGCAGCUGAUACUAAUGAAGCACAGAAAAAAAAACAGGAGGCCCUGAAACUUCAGCAGGAUGUAAGGAAAAGGAAGCAAGAAAUUUUAGAAAAGCACAUUGAAACACAGAAGAUGUUAAUUUCAAAACUAGAAAAAAACAAAGCAAUGAAAUCUGAAGAUAAAGCAGAAAUAAUGAAAACUUUAGAAGUUUUGACUAAAAAUAUUACCAAGUUGAAAGAUGAAGUUAAAUCUACUUCUCCUGGACGCUGUCUCCCCAAAAGUAUAAAAACUAAGACUCAGAUGCAGAAAGAAUUACUUGACACAGAACUGGAUUUAUAUAAGAAGAUGCAGGCUGGAGAAGAAGUCACUGAACUUAGAAGAAAAUAUACAGAAUUACAGCUGGAAGCUGCAAAACGAGGGAUUCUUUCGUCUGGUCGAGGUAGAGGAAUUCAUCCAAGAGGUCGAGGUGCAGCUCAUGGCCGAGGCAGGGGGCGAGGGCGAGGGCGAGGUGUGCCUGGACAUGCUGUGGUGGAUCACCGACCCAGGGCAUUGGAGAUUUCUGCGUUUACAGAGAGUGAUAGAGAAGAUCUUCUUCCUCAUUUUGCGCAAUAUGGUGAAAUUGAAGAUUGUCAGAUUGAUGAUUCUUCACUUCAUGCAGUAAUUACAUUCAAGACAAGAGUAGAGGCAGAAGCCGCUGCAGUUCAUGGAGCUCGUUUCAAAGGGCAGGAUCUAAAACUGGCAUGGAAUAAACCAAUAACUAAUAUUUCAGCUGUGGAAACAGAAGAAGUUGAACCUGAUGAAGAGGAAUUUCAGGAAGAGUCUUUGGUGGAUGACUCAUUACUUCAAGAUGAUGAUGAAGAGGAGGAGGACAAUGAAUCUCGUUCUUGGAGAAGAUGAUUUGACUGAUCAUUGAUCUGCAUAUGCUAAAACUGUACCUGUGUUUCAUUAGUAUUAUCUAAUGUACUUUUACAUAUUUGUAAAAACAAUUUUUGGUAAAAUGUGAUGAAGAUGGAUUUCACAAAUAGACAAAAGAGAAGAAAACUACCUUCUGAUCCUGUAUUUUGAAAGAUUGAUGUUUGCAUUUUAUUUCAGUAAACAGUUGCUAAAGACAUCACCUAGAACAUAUGCAAUGUUUUUAUUACAUACUUUUACUGAACAUUACAGAAUUCUUUGGGUUCUUUGUAAUUUAAUGAAUAGGUUUGAAAAUUUAUGACCCAAUACUUGUUAUAACUUAGAGGAUUUUGUUUUACUGCAAAUAAGGAAUGAAUUUGCAUUUAAAAUCUUAAUGAAUGUUUUCAAAAAUGAAUUGAUAAUAUAGUACUCUAACUAAAGUCUCCAAGUUAUGUAUUCAUAAUAUUACAUAGUAGUAUGCUUAGGCUUUACUAUGUAUUAGCCUUUUGUUAGACUUGUGUAUGUAUUUUACCACAUGGGUUUUAAUGAUAAUGGUGUAUGACUGCUUUACAUAUGAGUCCCUAUGCAUCUGGAUGUUCAAAAUAAAGUGGAAUGGUCUUUUAAAAAGAAAAAAAAAGAGAGAAAAAAAAGAAAAUUAAGACAAUGUUCCUUGAUUAAAAAAAAAGAAAAAAAGAAAAAAAAAAGAAAAUAAAUAGACCAUUCCAGAUGGCAAUUUACCUUUCCCUUAGUUUUCACAGAAAGAGCUUUAAUCACUAAUUUAAUAAUGGUUACUUGAUACUUUUACAAUAAUGUACAAUCCAAUGUUUAAAAUUAUUCCACUUCAGUUUUGAUUUGAUCCUAUAAAUUUUCAACAGAUGUCUUAAAAUUUAAAAGCAGGCUGAUUAGUUUGGAACCAGACUUCAAGUAGUGCUAACAUUUGGUGAAUAAGAAAACAUCAUAUUACAUUUUGGAUGUAUGAAAGAAAACUUGACCAUUUGAAGAUGUAUGAAUAAAGAAAUGUACUAUAGAUACUACUUUAGGAAAACACUGUUUGUAGUCGUGAAAGGUGCCAAAUUGGCAGAGGCUCACGUUUCUUCUCUUUACACCAAACAGCAGAGAGAAAUCAUCUUUGCCUGAAUUUAGCUUUGUGACUACAAGAGCAAGACCAGUCCUGUAUGGAGACGACUGUUAAUGAUAAUAUCAUUCUAUCAUUUUGUUUGCUCUUCACCAAUUUGAAUAGAUGUUUACAUGUACUGUAAUUAGCAUUCUACCUUUACAGUUCUCUGAGAAUACACCUGAGUCCAGAAGUAUAUCUGAAUGUGUGCUCUGAAUGUGUGAUAUUAUUCAUAGAUAUUUUCUUCCCUCUUCUAGCCUUUUAUUUUUUAAAUACCUUAAAAGAAGGAAUAAGGCUUCUUGGUUUCCUAAUAUGAGAUGUGUUAGUCUUGGCCAAACUAAGAAUUGUGUCUAGGAAAUCUGUAUAGCCAUGAUAGUGUGUUUAUUACUGUGAACAAUUUAGAAUGAAGAAAAUGAAUUAAAAUGUCAAACCUAAGUUCUGUUUAUUUAUUUUCUUGGUUUUAGGAUGUAAUUUCUUGGAUUAGGAUAGUUGCUUAAAAUAAUUUUAAACAGAUGGUAAAAAUCCUUUUUAAGCACUAUUUCUUAAGUUUAUUGGUGUUAUUGCUAAGGAUAGUGACCCAAAUAUUUUUUAAAAGUAAUUUAGCUCUUCAAAACCAACAAGGAGAAUUAAUGUUCUUUUGAAGCAAUAAAAAUGAUCUGGGGUUUAUUGAUAAUUAAAUACACUGAUUUUGAAAAAAUAAUUUACAGAGUUUUUUCAUGCUUUUUUUACUUGUAAUCAAGACAUCAAAGGCAAUUGUAAAAGCAAGGGAAAAUAGUCUUACAUGUUUGACAUUGUUAAAGAUUGUCACCUAAUUUUAAAAGUACAUACAAAUGAUAAGCAGUAAAGUUUUAGGAUUAUAAAGUAUACAGCUUAAUCUUACUAUUUAUUUACAGUAUCCUUUU